rnacentral:rRNA from 1 species
UACGAAGGGGCUAGCGUUGCUCGGAAUCACUGGGCGUAAAGAGCGUGUAGGCGGUUUGGUAGGUCCGCUGUGAAAACUCGAGCUCAACCUCGAGACGCCGGUGGAAACCAUCAGACUAGAGUCCGGAAGAGGAGAGUGGGAAUUCCUGGUGUAGCGGUGAAAUGCGCAGAUAUCAGGAAGAACACCCGUGGCUAAGGCGGCUCUCUAGUACGGUACUGACGCUGAGACGCGAAAGCGUGGGGAGCGAACAGG